rnacentral:rRNA from 1 species
GACGAACGCUGGCGGCGUGCUUAACACAUGCAAGUCGAACGGUGAAGGGACCAGCUUGCUGGUUCUGGCUGAGUGGCGAACGGGUGAGUAACACGUGAGUAACCUGCCCCCUUCUUCUGGAUAACCGCAUGAAAGUGUGGCUAAUACGGGAUAUUCUGGGUCUGUCGCAUGGCGGGCCCGGGAAAGAUAUUGCUUCGGUUGGGGAUGGGCUCGCGGCCUUUCAGCUUGUUGGUGGGGUGAUGGCCUACCACGGCGGUGACGGGUAGCCGGCCUGAGAGGGGGGACGGUGACACUGGGACUGGGACACGGCCCAGACUCCUACGGGAGGCAGCGGUGGGGAAGAUAGCACAGUGGGCGCAAGCCUGAUGCAGCGACGCCGCGUGAGGGAUGGAGGCCUUCGGGUUGUAAACCUCUUUCGCAAGUGAAGCAGGCCUGCUCCUUGUGGGUGGGUUGACGGUAGCUGGAUAAGAAGCGCCGGCUAACUACGUG